GAUGAAGAACGCAGUGAACGUGCGAAACGUAAUGUGAAUUGCAGAAUUCAGUGAAUCAUCGAAUCUUUGAACGCAUCUUGCGCUCCUUGGUAUUCCGAGGAGCAUGCCUGUUUGAGUGUCGUGAAUACUCUCAACUUCAACCCUUUUUUCGGAAAGGGAGGAAGGUUGGACUUGGGUGUUUGUUGAAGUGCGAGCUUCGACUCAUCCUAAAUGCAUUAGCGAUCUGCCUCGAUCACACACAAUGUGAUAAUUAAAACUAAAGCAUUGUUUAAUGAUCAAGUCGAGACUGCUUCUAACUGUCGCAAGACAAUAACGUGCAUACAUUUGUGCAUGUCAUUUGACCUCAAAUCAGGUAGGACUACCCGCUGAACUUAAGCAUAUCAAUAAGCGGGAGGA
rnacentral:misc_RNA from 1 species